GACGAACCGGUGUGAACGUUGUUCGGAAUCACUGGGCUUAAAGGGCGCGUAGGCGGGUGACCAAGUCAGGGGUGAAAUCUUUCGGCCCAACCGGAAAAGUGCCUCUGAUACUGGUCGUCUUGAGGGAGGUAGGGGUCGAGGGAACUGGUGGUGGAGCGGUGAAAUGCGUAGAUAUCACUAGGAACGCCGGUGGCGAAAGCGCUCGACUGGACCUCUUCUGACGCUGAGGCGCGAAAGCCAGGGGAGCAAACGGG
rnacentral:rRNA from 1 species